UUAGAGUUUGAUCAUGGCUCAGAACGUACGCUGGCGGCACGCCUAACACAUGCAAGUCGAACGAAGUAGCAAUACUUAGUGGCAGACGGGUGAGUAACAUGUAGGUAUCUGCCCUUUGGCCUGGAAUAACACGAGGAAACUUGUGCUAAUACCGGAUAAGUCUUUACGGAGAAAGCUUUAUGCACCAUUGGAUGAGCCUGCACUUGAUUAGUUUGUUGGUAGGGUAAUGGCCGACCAAGACUGUGAUCAAUAGCUGAUUUGAGAGGAUGAUCAGCCACAUUGGGACUGAGACACGGCCCAAACUCCUACGGGAGGCAGCAGUGGGGAAUCUUGCACAAUGGAGGAAACUCUGAUGCAGCGAUGCCGCGUGAGUGAAGAAGGCCCUUGGGUUGUAAAGCUCUUUCGUCGGGGAAGAAAAUGACUGUACCCGAAUAAGAAGGUCCGGCUAACUUCGUGCCAGCAGCCGCGGUAAUACGAAGGGACCUAGCGUAGUUCGGAAUUACUGGGCUUAAAGAGUUCGUAGGUGGUUGAAAAAGUUGGUGGUGAAAUCCCAGAGCUUAACUCUGGAACUGCCAUCAAAACUUUUCAGCUAGAGUAUGAUAGAGGAAAGCAGAAUUUCUAGUGUAGAGGUGAAAUUCGUAGAUAUUAGAAAGAAUACCAAUUGCGAAGGCAGCUUUCUGGAUCAUUACUGACACUGAGGAACGAAAGCAUGGGUAGCGAAGAGGAUUAAAUACCCUCGUAGUCCAUGCCGUAAACGAUGUGUGUUAGACGUUGGAAAUUUAUUUUCAGUGUCGCAGCGAAAGCGAUAAACACACCGCCUGGGGAGUACGACCGCAAGGUUAAAACUCAAAUGAAUUGACGGGGACCCGCACAAGUAGUGGAGCAUGUGGUUUAAUUCGAAGAUACGCGCAGAACCUUACCAACACUUGACAUGUUCGUCGCGACUUUAAGAGAUUAGAGUCUUCGGUUCGGCCGGACGAAACACAGGUGCUGCAUGGCUGUCGUCAGCUCGUGUCGUGAGAUGUUGGGUUAAGUCCCGCAACGAGCGCAACCCUCACUUUUAGUUGCCAUCAUUAAGUUGGGCACUCUGAAAGAACUGCCAGUGAUAAGCUGGAGGAAGGUGGGGAUGACGUCAAGUCCUCAUGGCCCUUACGUGUUGGGCUACACACGUGCUACAAUGGUAUCUACAACAGGAAGCAAGACUGCGAAGUUAAGCAAAUCCUUAAAAGAUACCUCAGUUCGGAUUGCACUCUGCAACUCGAGUGCAUGAAGCUGGAAUUACUAGUAAUCGUGGAUCAGCGUGCCACGGUGAAUGCGUUCCC
rnacentral:rRNA from 1 species